rnacentral:lncRNA from 1 species
AUUAACCAAAAGUUAAAGUUAUUAUAUUCUGUUCACAUGAAAUUUAAUAAAGUACUAGUAUUUUUUUAUAAAUUGGAAAAUGUGAAUGUCACAUAAAGAUUCAUUUGAGAGCUGGGACCAUGUUGAAGGUGUAGGUAGUCAUAAACUAUGUAAUAAAUUUCCUAUAAACCACUUAAUCAUUUCACUUUGCUAUUUAAUAUCUCAACUGAAUCUAUCAUAAAUAGUUCUUUUAUUAGUUGUGGACCAAAAUAAAAAUCAUGUUUGUUUCUUCUGCACCAGUAACUCCACGGUCGACCCAAAACAGCAGAGCAGUAACUGUCAAAAGGAUGGGAAGGAUGCAAAAAGCAUCAAUUCAAGAUUAGAGCAGUGUAAGUAAGCUUUAUUUGACAAAGCUUAUCUCCACUUAAGCAACAAGAAUAGUAUAAUAGCUUGUUAAAUCACGUGGUCCAAUUCAUAAUAUGUAAUGAUGAAACAUGCAGUAUGGUCCAGUUCCAGUCAAUCAUGCAAGGACCACAGUUAUUACCGUCACAAUUGAAGCAUCUCUGCAUAAUUUAACUGCUAAAAAAGAUUGGUAAAACAGACACAAGAAACACUAACGAAACAUUUUGAGUGGCAAAGAGAUCAAACAAAUGGAAUGGUUCAAAGGAGAAUUCAGAGAGUAUUAGUUUGACUUGUGUAUAUUGCAUGGUGUACGUGCACAAGACGAGGAGGCUGUUAUAGGCUUUCCACGUGAGAAUAUGCGCUAACAAAGGCAAGAAAUCAGGAUGCCACCAAAAGUUGUAAAAAAAAUUUGAAUGUCAUUUGAUGGGAUUCUCAAGUGAGGGAAAGAAAAAGUGUGUGACGCUUUCUUCAAUUUGGAGUAAAUGUGCAAGCUUCCUUUCAUGGGGGAUUGCCAUGAAUAGAAGGAAGACGAAGUGGGGGCAGUGGGGCCUUGUAGGAGGCCUAUUUUCUUGGAUAUCCCUUUUUCUGUAGGGCAUUUCUAGUCUUGUUUCCUUGCUUUAUGAAGAAUAUAACCUCUGUUCUCUUUUUCUUUCUUUUUUUUCCCAUUAUUUGCACUGGCCAUACUCAUCAAUACUAACGUGGCCCUUCAGCUGUAAGCAUCACUUUCAAUUAUUGAUUGACUCAUCAAAAUUCAAAUUCAAGCAUCUUCUGUCUUCAUUACAUCACUAGUAUUUUAAUCACAGUUAGAGAUAUGAGUUCAAUAUCAGUUUAGUUUUUCUGAUAAUACAGAUGCAUGACAGUUAAUGAAAGAAUUUUAGUUUUUGUUAGAGUUUAUACAAAGACAGUGUGGUGGUUAUUUAUUUACCAUGGUGGCAAAAGAGAUUUGAAGAUAACUUUAGGUGAGGCCUAUGCAACUUUUCUUUAUAUAGAUUCUCGUUGUAUCUGAAGGGACAAUGCAUCUUGAUUUCUUUCCUUGUAUCAGGAAAAUUCCCCACCCUCUCGAGAGGGGGAAAAGCAAGAAAAAGAGGAGGAAACCAGCAUUUGACUGAAAAUGACCCUUACCAAAACCAAUCUGAAAUCAAUAGAGGACAAAAAAUUACAUGGCAUUCUUUCAUGUACUUGUUUUGAUAUCUCUGUGAAUGAGGAAAAAAAACAAAAGACUCUGACAGCAAGAGUCCUUUGAUGGCUCAACAAAUAAAGCAAAGAGCCCAGUAGUAUUAAAUGUUGCAUGUGCAGCAAUUAAUUAGGAAUCUUGUUUUAACUAGCUGUUUCUUCCAUCAUAAGCUUGCCAAGCUCCUACUUUUUUCUCCCAGAAGCAACAAAUUAUAAGAACUCCGUGCUGUCUGUUUCACAGCAACAAAGAAACUUGUUCUUCGCUUUUCUUUUACUACAAAUGGAACUCUUCAAAGGGCUACCCUUCACUUGUAAUUAAUAUCACCCUAAACCCAUAAUUCAUCGUCUUUUCUGUUCAAACUUCAAAAACACUGCUUUCUCCUCCUAUUCCUGCAUAACAAUUUCCAUCCACUUCUAACUAACACAAACAGAAUUUAUGGGAAAAACCUGAGAAAGUAUCUAGUUUUUUGGAAUUUUAAUUGGAAUUUUAAUGCAGUAUCCAACAUCUCAAACACAAACUGAACUGAAGAACAACUUAAUUACGAGGUUUAUAUGCAGAUCAGAAUAACAAAACCUGGAAGGACGUGAAAUGGUCAAACAGAAUGAGUAUGCAACAAUAAUAGCCAAACAAACACAUGAAAACAAGGUUGCCUUUAGUUUAUGCUUCAUGUUUUUGCUACCCACAUUACAAUUUGAAACACCCAUGUUCCUUUAACCAAAAUCAUCCGAAAAUAAGUAUGUAUUUAUGUAUGUAUGCAACAGACAAGCUUGAAAAUGAAAAAGAAAACCCAGAGGAGUAAAUUAAAUAAUAUGAAUUAUGAGAAGGUGCAGUUAAUAAUUUAGGGCAUCCGAUCCAGAAAAGAUUAAGAUGAGGCAAUUAUUUUUACAUGGAAUCCCCCAACAGGAUGCAAAAAAAAAAAAAAAACAUACUUUUUUGGCAGAUGCUUUUGGUGGCCAUCGAUCCAAAUGAAAUGAAAUGCGUACACAAAGUGGCCGGCAAUUAUAUUCUUCAACUUGUCCCCAUUGCCUUCUUUCCAGUGCUACCAUUUUCUGGAUACAUUUUCUUACCAUUCUUUCUUUAUUCUUUAUCCAUUCUUGUUUACAUCAAAAUCUAUGUUAAUUUUUAACUUGUUAAAGUAACUAUCACACUUUUAUACAAAAGAUAAUUGAAUAUUCUGUUCCUUUGAUUCAUCCUUUUUCCUUUCCACCCUGAAAAUAAAUAUGUUUAUCUUUGCUAGAAAAAUUAUAAAAGUAUAUUUCAUUUCCAAAAUGGUAAUGCUUCAUCUUUUU